rnacentral:tmRNA from 1 species
GGGGAUGAAAUGGCUUCGACAGUUAAUGUUGAUUAUUUAUUAAGCGUGUCGAGAAUAUCUAAUUGCUCGUUAAAAUAUUAGGUAAAAAUUAAUUGCCAAAAGCAAUAAUCAACCUUUAGCACUUGCUGCUUAAGGCGUGAAUAAGAUGUCUGCCUUCGGUAUUUUAUUUGCGACGCUUUAGAGGGCUUGCUGAAAAAUGUUGUCAGGCGUUUUUACAGGACUUUUUAUGACUUAGAACUUUUAUGAGGCUGACAUAAUCAAUUAAAAGUUUGAAAUGUUUUUUAUGUCUGCACACGGAGAAAGUGAAUAACCCAUUAAAUUGGACGGCGGGUCGGUACCGCCCAUCUCCACGG